rnacentral:rRNA from 1 species
AGUGGCGAACGGGUGAGUAACACGUGAGUAACCUGCCCUUGACUCUGGGAUAAGCCUGGGAAACUGGGUCUAAUACCGGAUAUGACCGUCUGACGCAUGUCAGGUGGUGGAAAGCUUUUGUGGUUUUGGAUGGACUCGCGGCCUAUCAGCUUGUUGGUGGGGUAAUGGCCUACCAAGGCGACGACGGGUAGCCGGCCUGAGAGGGUGACCGGCCACACUGGGACUGAGACACGGCCCAGACUCCUACGGGAGGCAGCAGUGGGGAAUAUUGCACAAUGGGCGCAAGCCUGAUGCAGCGACGCCGCGUGAGGGAUGACGGCCUUCGGGUUGUAAACCUCUUUCAGUAGGGAAGAAGCGAAAGUGACGGUACCUGCAGAAGAAGCGCCGGCUAACUACGUGCCAGCAGCCGCGGUAAUACGUAGGGCGCAAGCGUUAUCCGGAAUUAUUGGGCGUAAAGAGCUCGUAGGCGGUUUGUCGCGUCUGCUGUGAAAGACCGGGGCUCAACUCCGGUUCUGCAGUGGGUACGGGCAGACUAGAGUGAUGUAGGGGAGACUGGAAUUCCUGGUGUAGCGGUGAAAUGCGCAGAUAUCAGGAGGAACACCGAUGGCGAAGGCAGGUCUCUGGGCAUUAACUGACGCUGAGGAGCGAAAGCAUGGGGAGCGAACAGGAUUAGAUACCCU